AAAUCUAAGAAACCCUCUUUGGACCUAAAACUCUACUUCUCGAGAUUCUAACCCAUUUAAACCUCAAUAAUCCUUGAUCCACCCUUUUGAUUAAGCUAAAACUCACAACAUAUAUUGAACACAUAUGUACCCACAAACUCUUAAAAUUUCACUUAUAGAUCUAAUGCCAAACUUACAAAAUUCUCCAAAAAUUAUCACCUACUUUAUUUUACAAAUCUAGAGUCACCCAAAACAAAU
rnacentral:lncRNA from 1 species